rnacentral:rRNA from 1 species
UUUUCCUACGGGGCGCAGCAGUGGGGAAAAUUGCACAAUGGGGGGAACCCUGAUGCAGCGACGCCGCGUGAGUGAAGAAGUAUUUCGGUAUGUAAAGCUCUAUCAGCAGGGAAGAAAAUGACGGUACCUGAAGAAGAAGCCCCGGCUAACUACGUGCCAGCAGCCGCGGUAAUACGUAGGGGGCAAGCGUUAUCCGGAUUUACUGGGUGUAAAGGGGGCGCAGACGGCGAUGCAAGCCAGGAGUGAAAGCCCGGGGCCCAACCCCGGGGCUGCGCUUGGAACUGCGUGGCUGGAGUGCAGGGGGG